AUCAUUCAAAAUGUCUACAAAAGGCUUUUUCCUUGCCCAGCAACCAAGAGAAGUGAAAUAAAACUGUUAUGGCAUGACACUGAGCACUGAAACUGAACUGAAAGAGCCUGUUGGAGGGCUGGCCUGGAUUUGGGAGGAGCCAAGAGGUUUUUCCUGGAGCUGUGAAGUUUUUCCUGUCAGAAAUCCAUGAUGGGGAUGUUUUCCCUGGCUGUGCCAAGUGGAAGGAACAGCUUUGGAGUUGUUGCAGACACAGGCUGGGGAUGCAUCCCCUGAAAACCAGUUCAGGAUUGUUCAUCUGACUCUGCCCCUGACCUGUGGCUUCCAGGGACCCUCCUGGUAUCCUGGAUAUUCCCAGGAGAGGAUGUUCCACCACCUGCCUUUCGAGCCAGGAAUUCCAGACCCAGAUGAGGAAGGCAACCCUGCCGAGGAGGAAGAUGAGGAGGUGUGGGAGGAUGGAGACAGCGGCCGCCAAAGGCUGGGGAAGGCACAAGUCCAGCCCUUUGCUUCCCAGAGGUGGUGCUUUAGGAAAACCCCUCCAGCCUGGGAAGGAGCUUUUGGCUCUGGACACAUUCCCAGUCCCCAGGAGCAGCAGGACCUGUGCUGUUCCAGCAGGACAGGAAAAACCACUUAACUCAUCCCAUCUCUGCCCAAAGCUUUGGUGUUUGAGCAGCCAAACCCAAUGGGCUCCAGCCUGCACUGGAGGGCCCCUGGUCCUGCCCGUGGUGUGAGAUGCUGGAAUUGCCUCUGGAUGUGUGCUGAGCUCUCACUGCAGGGGACUGCCAGUCCUUAAUGGUUGCACCAAGGACAAGAGGAGCUGCUUCCCUUCCUGGGGCUCGGCCUCCUCCCGCCCCGCGCUCCCGGCCAGCUGGGACACACAGAGGGAACACCGAGGAACAUUCCCGGCAGGGAGCAGGAGUCCCCGAGGGCUCCGUGCAGCUCUGGGCCUGAGAACAGCCCCGGCCUCAGCCCCCACCGUGACUUUGGGCUGUGAGCACUCACCU